UAUAAGUAAAAAUCAGACAACGGAGGACAAAUAGUACUUUUCGUCUUGGGCGCGUGAGGUUGUCGAGGGGAAGGAUGACUGAUAGAAGAUGCUGAUAAGGGAAGGGUCAGCCGCAGGUGUAUUAAGUCAAGCCAGGUACGGCACUUGUCCUGGCUGCUACUUAAGAUGAGGCACCACUGAGCAGAUAAUAUUGGAAAGUAGUUUGAACAGCAACAUAAUUUCAGUGCUUGCCAUACGAAUAAGCUCUGUUUCCCUGCGCAGUGAAUUUAAAUUGUGAGAGACGCGCAGGAUUGCACACUUUGCAUACUUGAAGCUGAGACCGUGUUAUUGAAGCCUCACUCGUGUUCUACUUCAUUUACGCUCAAUCUGUCUUGAAUCCGAAUGAUCGAUGGAGGAGGUGGGGUUACCAGUGUAAAAAAAAUAUCCAUGCGAAGGGAGGAAGAAUGUAUUCCGUAUAAUGAAGUGAGGCGAACCUUACAGAUCAUUAACAUACGAAAAAGUGUACAUGUUUCAUUACAGGUACGAAGUGUAAUUUCAGUGCCUGGGUAGAGAGAAGUUAAUACAAAAAUACCUGCUGAAAAUGUAACUGGCAUAAAAACAUACGAGUGGAAAUGAAACAAAUCUAACACUACAAAUUCGCACUGUCUUGAUCCCUUCACUGCACCGCAACGUUGCGUCACUUUCUAUCUUCUACUGUUACUUCCGAAUUGCGUAAAGGCAUAAUACCUCCUCUCCUUCCACAUCCUCAUCGCACAACACUUUCUACUUAUUCUCAUUUUUGUUCUGUCCACCUUAGUUAUGGAAGAGUCGAUUGGUAUCUUCAUUCUUUCAUCCCCUUAACUUAUAAACUCUGAAACUCUCAUGUUUCUGGAUUUCCUCCUGUCUACGACACGAAUACUGUUUCAAAAGACCAGUAUCAAGACGCCUCAAAAAAUAAACUUCUCUCGGUUCUACUCUCUAGUUUCUUUUUAGGGAACGGCAUUUGAGCAGACUUUUUUCUCCCUUUUAUCUCUUUUCCCGCUUGAAUGACCUCCUUCAUAUAUGAAAAAAAAAAAAAAACUUGGAAGAUGACAAACAUAAUACGCAUAAGUGUUUACGUCAUUGGUGUGGUUGCUCAAAAUUCUAUCAAGAACUGUCCGUGAUGCAGGAAAAGAUUUUGAAACAGUGUGUUCCAUAAGUAAGCACGACACUGUCUUCUCAAGGUAACUGAACACUUAAUUGAGAGUAAUCUCUGAUGCAUGAAAGCAUCAUUGCUCGUUUUCAGCUUCUUGUUUCCAAACUUGUGAGUCAUUCCGUGGGAGAGUUCACACAAAACAGGAUACAUCACUGCCACGAGUAUGCCACUGGUUGCCUUUACGGUGACAGAUGAUGCUAAUGUGGACAAUUGCUGUAGAUUCUUCUCGCUGAUGACAAUCAACUGAAACACUGGAAAAAAAAAAAGCUCAAAUACUGCAAUCCUCUUCCUAAUGUGACUGCUUCAGAGAUAAAUUUUCCGAGCGUUUGGGAGGCAGCUUUACGACACCAUGUCUUUCUUCCUUUCAACUCAAAUAAACAAAAGUAGGAAUUAUUCGACUACGUCAGUAACUGAUGACUCACGUCAACUCAUGAGGAUAAACCUAUGUUUAAUAAAGUCUCUAUUAAGCCUCUUGAGAUACACAAAGAUUUGCUUCACACACCAAACCUUCUGGAAAGUGGUGACUAUUAGUUUUUUUUUUUAGUUGCAAGUGAUGCGAUGACUCACGUAUGGUAACCUUCUCUCAAGUCUUUGCUCGGCAAUAAACCCAAGAUCCGCACAGCGAGAGCAGCUGUCAUUAAAUUAUUCCAGGUGAUGAUGAAGGACUGAAAGUUCUGAAGAUGUUUCGGAGCUUCAUAGUACGUGCACACUAUUAAUCAACAAAAUAUUCCUUAGAGUGACAACAACCAAUCAGAGUCCAAUAGAUGACGAGCUGCCACACAUUAAAGCUCCCCGACCACAACACAACACAGCCGUGAAAAUCGCUCUGACAUGGUGGUCAUCCAUUACCUACAAGGCUCACAUUCUACUCUGUCCUGCCGGCAAAACACAAUCACCCAGAAGUACUCUGAUCUGCUGGAAGUUCCUCGACUCAACUGGUGGAUCCUCAGCGGACCAGAGAACUCGAGGUGGAGUGGAAACACUAAACACAGUGGACGUGAGUGUGGAGCGUUACUCGACUUCGUGACUGUGCCUUCAGAUUGAGAACCAGUGACAAAGAAAACACAAAUAAACAAAAGGGAAGAACAAGCAGCGGCAGUGUUAACAAUUCCGGCCAAGAUGGCUGCUUGAUAAUAUGCUGCUCCCAAAAGGACAACUAUAGGAGAUUCCAAAAGGUGGAACACUUUGGUGUCGGAGGUGGCUUGUUACUCCUCCAUCUGAAUUGUCUGUAUGUGUUAAUCUGCACAGGGAAUCAAGCUGGAUUUACUGCAAGUCUUUGGAGCAUCCAGCGCGACCAGACAAUAAUCAGCGGCUUGGCUCCCUCGCUCAAGCCAAGCCUAUAUUUAGACCGAGCUCGCUGUCCACUCCCUGUCUACCGUUGACUCCUGCAUCCACUCCAGUUAACCUUCCACAGUUACCAUUCUCGGAGUUCGUAACACUUGAAAGGAACUUUACAUUAUAAGCUUUUACUUUUGCCUCAUUAUAUUCCUACAGUCUUUGUUUUCCUGUCAGAACUGUUUUUCUCAAGGCCACAGAGAUGUUUGGUUGUGAUGAAUGAGUGAUUUCAUUAUGACGCAGGAACCUUGUUAAACAUCACAUAGUCAUGGGAGCAUCCCUUAAAACUCCAAUAACUUCCAAGUGAUCUGGUUCUGUGUAAGACAUCACAUGAUGGAAUGUUUAGCAAUACGGAAGACUAAAAUAAAAUGUAUGGACAGUAAAGGCGCAGUUCGUGUCAUGGCAAACCAGAGGCAGAGCGACCCAAGUACAGCCAACUGUGGCAAGAUCUGUCGCUAGUCUCUUCGGGGCAACGCAACACACAAGUGGAGGCAGCAAUACAAAUCAGAGUUCGGGCAAGGGUGUCAGAAUUCUUGGUCAGAUACUCGCGUUUUCUUUUCAGACGUACGAUAGACAGGCUUUACAUCAUAAUGAAAACCCUCAGAUCUUUAUAAGAUUCCGAAUUAUUUGUUAUUUAUAAGAUACCAAAUAAUUUCUACAUGUAUGACCCUGUCUCCGGCCGCUCGUGAGAUAGGAAAGGCAAGGUGACCUCUGCCUCGGCGCCCGUCGCAAGGCGCAGGAAGUCACAGCAUUAGUCAGAACGGGGACAAAGAUCUAGAAAGUAUCGUGACUUCAUGUUGGGAAAGUGCACCACAUGACGCCGUUGUGGCGGCGCCUUGGAACACCUCGAUCAGCCACUCGAGUCCAAUAAUUCUGUCAAUCACUCGUGUUGGAAAAGGUUAUGCGAGGAAUUUUCUUUGAAAUGACCAAAUCUCCAAGAGAGAGAGAGAGAGAGAGAGAGAGAGAGAGAGAGAGA